rnacentral:RNase_P_RNA from 1 species
GCAGACCGAACAGUUGCGGGUACAAAUGCCGAAAGGCUGUAUGCGAGGAAAGUCCGAGCUCUACAGGGCAGAAUAACGGCUAACGGCCGCCGAGGGUGACCUCAGGGAAAGUGCAACAGAGAUAUACCGCCGAUUUAUCGGUAAGGGUGGAAAGGCGAGGUAAGAGCUCACCGGCGCAGGGGAGACCCUGCGGCCCUGCAAACCCUAUUCAGAGCAACACCGUGGACGGACUAUACGCUUGCCCGGCGUGUCCGGUGGGGGUGGCAUCGAGCAGUACGGCAACGUGCUGCCAAGAUAGAUAACUGUUUAAAACAGAACUCGGCUUACAGGUCUGGUCU